GACGAACCGUACGAACGUUAUUCGGAAUCACUGGGCUUAAAGGGUGCGUAGGCGGCGCUGAAAGUUGGGUGUGAAAUCCCUCGGCUCAACCGAGGAACUGCAUUCAAAACUACAGUGCUUGAGGGAGACAGAGGUGAGCGGAACUUAGGGUGGAGCGGUGAAAUGCGUUGAUAUCCUAAGGAACACCCGUGGCGAAAGCGGCUCACUGGGUCUCUUCUGACGCUGAGGCACGAAAGCCAGGGGAGCGAACGGG
rnacentral:rRNA from 1 species